rnacentral:rRNA from 1 species
GAUGAACGCUAGCGGCAGGCUUAACACAUGCAAGUCGAGGGGCAGCAUAGAGUAGCAAUACUUUGAUGGCGACCGGCGGACGGGUGCGUAACGCGUAUGCAACCUACCCUUUACAGGGGGAUAACACUGAGAAAUUGGUACUAAUACCGCAUAAUGCAUCAAUUUCGCAUGUUAUUGAUGCCAAAGGAGCAAUCCGCCUUUAGAUGAGCUCGCGUCUGAUUAGCUAGUUGGUGGGGUAACGGCCCACCAAGGCGGCGAUCAGUAGCCGGUCUGAGAGGAUGAACGGCCACAUUGGGACUGAGAUACGGCCCAG